UUACCUACGGGACGCAGCAGUGGGGGAUAUUGGACAAUGGGGGAAACCCUGAUCCAGCGAUGCCGCGUGAGGGAAGAAGGUUUUCGGAUUGUAAACCUCUGUGGAGGGGGACGAUAAUGACGGUACCCCUUUAGGAAGCCACGGCUAACUACGUGCCAGCAGCCGCGGUAAUACGUAGGGGGCAAGCGUUAUCCGGAUUUACUGGGUGUAAAGGGAGCGUAGACGGCGUGCCAAGUCUGAUGUGAAAGGCCGGGGCUCAACCCCGGGACUGCAUUGGAAACUGGCAUGCUGGAGUGCCGGAGGGG
rnacentral:rRNA from 1 species